rnacentral:rRNA from 1 species
UGGGGAAUAUUGCACAAUGGGCGCAAGCCUGAUGCAGCCAUGCCGCGUGUAUGAAGAAGGCCUUCGGGUUGUAAAGUACUUUCAGUCGGGAGGAAGGUGGUAAGGUUAAUAACCUUAUCAAUUGACGUUACCGACAGAAGAAGCACCGGCUAACACCGUGCCAGCAGCCGCGGUAAUACGGAGGGUGCAAGCGUUAAUCGGAAUUACUGGGCGUAAAGCGCACGCAGGCGGUUUGUUAAGUCAGAUGUGAAAUCCCCGGGCUCAACCUGGGAACUGCAUCUGAUACUGGCAAGCUUGAGUCUCGUAGAGGGGGGUAGAAUUCCAGGUGUAGCGGUGAAAUGCGUAGAGAUCUGGAGGAAUACCGGUGGCGAAGGCGGCCCCCUGGACGAAGACUGACGCUCAGGUGGGAAAGCGUGGGGAGCAAACAGG